rnacentral:lncRNA from 1 species
CAGAGCAGCACUCUUUAUCAGUGCCACUUACCUGUUCCUGCCUACCUUGUGUUCUAGGACUUUUAUUGGAAAAGCCACAUAGAGGUCAAACUCUGUCUAGCUAUCCGUCUAUAAAGAAAUCCAGACAGCGUAAUGCAGCAUUUUAUGAACAACAAGUGGAUCUUCUGGGAAUGACAGAAUCCUCCCUACGAAUUAGAAGCAUGGAAGGAUUCGUUACACUUUAACAUGUUUCUUCAGUGACAUGUGCGACCUUGACUUUUAAUUAUUCAAGAGUGGCAAGUAUGGAACCUAAAGUGGAUUGUUGACACAAGAUGCCUGGAAAUAAGGAGAAUUAUGAAAGACAUACUGUUGUUUUAAAUUUCAAACCACAGUUACCUGUGUAACUAAAGAACCUGUAAGUCCCUCAAUAGGAAAAAGUGGAAACUGACCCAGAGGAUGCCAGACAGAAGGAUAUAUCCAAUUGCAGUUCUUACCAGCAUACAGGAGGAGGUUCCAUAUGAAUAUAACUUCUUGCCUAAGUUGGUUUAGGUAAGAAGACUCUUCAUGUGCCUGUUUCCUUCAAAUUUUAAGGAGAGCUCUUGCAUGGUGGUAGAACCGAGGACAGCCUAGACCUUCUGAUUGUCAACUCCUUGUUCCAUUGUGUCCAAACCUACAUGUCUGAACUCCUCUCAUCAAAGACUUCUCAAAGUUAUUAAUAACUGGGGAUCACGUAUUCAGUAAUUACACACAUCAGGCUCCAUGCUUUCUGUGCAGUAUGUAAAUUGAUUCAUUGUCAUACUAAUUAUAAAUGGCUAGUAUUAUUGCUGCUUUACAAAUGAGGCAUAUGACACACAGGGAGCUAAAUAAUUUGCCUAAGGUCACCCCACUUGUAAAUGAUGAAGCCAGGACUCAAGGCCAGGUCUGGCCACCCCUGAAUUUAAUAGCUUUAUCCUCUAUAUCUCUGUUUUCUCCCAGACCAAGGUGUCUGUACCUCUCUGCCAACAGAGAAAAGGGUUCAUUCAUUCAUCAAAUGUUUGUUGAGCAUCUAUUGUGACUCAGGCAAUAUCCUAGAUCAAGGAUUGUCAAACUUUUUCUAUAAAGGACAAGAGAGCAAACAUUUUAGGUCUCCUGGGUCAUACGGUCAGUCACUGUGAUUCAACUCUGCUGUUGUAGUACAAGAUUGUGAAAGCAGCCAUAGAUGAUAUGUCAAUGAAUGAGCAUGGUUGUGUUCCAAUAAAAUGUCACUUGCGAAAGCAGGCUGUGGGCUGGGUUUGGGCCAAGAGUUCUAUCCCUGCUCUAGGCACUGGAGUUACAAUAGCAAAAAAUUAAAAUAAAGUAAAAUAAAAACACAAAAAUGCCUGCCUUUGUGGUGCUUCCAUUCCAGAAUGGGGAAGUAAUUGUAUUUCUGUCCCGUUUAUCAUGUAAAAAUUGUCAUAGGAUCUUGGAGUUGCUGAGCACCUAGAGGUGAUCUGUUCAGCAUUUUCCUCCCAGGGCAGCUCUCCACUCAGAACUCUCUUGGCUGGUGAGGGUUCAUUCUGUGUGCCCGGAUCUAGUGUCACCUCACCUUCCAGGGGACCCAUCCUUGUCACAUAGUCCUUGCUUAUCUGUCUUCCUGACAAUUUAACUCACAUCCUACCCUGUUUGGGCAGAGGGCCCCACAUUUUAGCAUAUCAUAAUCACUUUUGGGGCUUGAAACACUUUGAUGGGCUCCACUCUCGAGAUUCUGAUUCAAUAGGUCUGGAGUGAGGCCCAAGAUUUUCCCUUUCUGACAAAUUCCCAGGUAAUUCC